AUCCCAGAUGAUCUUGUUUUGUGAUUAUCUGAUUCAUGGGAGGCGAAUAACAAAUGGGAGUUCGCUGAUGGCACUUUUAUUCUUGGAAGUGUUUUAAUAGUAGCUCACCAUACAUUU
rnacentral:snoRNA from 1 species